GACGAACGCUGGCGGCGUGCUUAACACAUGCAAGUCGAACGGAAAGGCCCUGCUUUUGUGGGGUGCUCGAGUGGCGAACGGGUGAGUAACACGUGAGUAACCUGCCCUUGACUUUGGGAUAACUUCAGGAAACUGGGGCUAAUACCGGAUAGGAGCUCCUGCUGCAUGGUGGGGGUUGGAAAGUUUCGGCGGUUGGGGAUGGACUCGCGGCUUAUCAGCUUGUUGGUGGGGUAGUGGCUUACCAAGGCUUUGACGGGUAGCCCGCCUGAGAGGGUGACCGGCCACAUUGGGACUGAGAUACGGCCCAGACUCCUACGGGAGGCAGCAGUGGGGAAUAUUGCACAAUGGGCGGACGCCUGAUGCAGCAACGCCGCGUGCGGGAUGACGGCCUUCGGGUUGUAAACCGCUUUCGCCUGUGACGAAGCGUGAGUGACGGUAAUGGGUAAAGAAGCACCGGCUAACUACGUG
rnacentral:rRNA from 1 species